rnacentral:rRNA from 1 species
CCUACGGGUGGCUGCAGUCGAGAAUCAUUCACAAUGGGGGAAACCCUGAUGGGGCGACGCCGCGUGGGGGAAUGAAGGUCUCCGGAUUGUAAACCCCUGUCAUGUGGGAGCAAAUUAAAAAGAUAGUAACACAAGAGGAAGAGACGGCUAACGCUGUGCCAGCAGCCGCGGUAAUACAGAGGUCUCAAGCGUUGUUCGGAAUCACUGGGCGUAAAGCGUGCGUAGGCUGUUUCGUAAGUCGCGUGUGAAAGGCGCGGGCUCAACCCGCGGACGGCACAUGAUACUGCGAGACUAGAGUAAUGGAGGGGGGACCGGAAUGCUCGGUGUAGCAGUGAAAUGCGUAGAUAUCGGGAGGAACACUGGUGGCGAAGGCGGGUUCCUGGACGUUAACUGACGCUGAGGCACGAAAGCCAGGGGAGCGAAAAGGAUUAGAUACCCUUGUAGUC